rnacentral:rRNA from 1 species
ACUCCUACGGGGAGGCAGCAGGUGAGGAAUAUUGGUCAAUGGAGGGAACUCUGAACCAGCCAUCCCGCGUGUAGGAAGACGGCCUUAUGGGUUGUAAACUACUUUUAUACAGGAAGAAACGUACCCUCGUGAGGGUGCCUGACGGUACUGUAGGAAUAAGCACCGGGCUAACUCCGUGCCAGCAGCCGCGGUAAUACGGAGGGGUGCGAGCGUUAUCCGGAUUUAUUGGGGUUUAAAGGGUCCGUAGGCGGAUUAAUAAGUCAGUGGUGAAAUCCCAUCGCUUAACGAUGGAACUGCCAUUGAUACUGUUAGUCUUGAAUGAGGGUGCAGUGGUUGGAAUGUGUAGUGUAGCGGGUGAAAUGCAUAGAUAUUACACAGAACACCGAUUGCGAAGGCAGAUCACUAACCCUAAACUUGACGCUGAGGGACGAAAGCGUGGGGAGCGAACAGGAUUAGAGUACCCUGGUAGCGACUGA